rfam:Schistosoma rodhaini strain Burundi genome assembly, scaffold: SROB_scaffold0000059
AUCCAGUUGACGAGUUCCAAAUAGGACGGGACGCGUGUCUUGGAU